rnacentral:rRNA from 1 species
GACAGAGGGUGCAAACGUUGUUCGGAAUUACUGGGCGUAAAGCGUGUGUAGGCGGUCCAUUAAGUCGGGUGUGAAAGCCCUGGGCUCAACCCAGGAAGUGCACUCGAAACUGGCGGGCUAGAGUAUCGGAGAGGUUGGUGGAAUUCUCGGUGUAGAGGUGAAAUUCGUAGAUAUCGAGAGGAACACCGGUGGCGAAGGCGGCCAACUGGACGAAUACUGACGCUGAGACACGAAAGCCAGGGGAGCAAACGGG